CGCACAUUGCGCCCUUUGGUAUUCCGAAGGGCAUGCCUGUUCGAGCGUCAUUAUCACCCCUCAAACCCCCCGGGUUUGGUGUUGGACGGCCUGGUCGGGCACUGCGCCCGACCCCUCCGAAAGACAAUGACGGCGGCCUCGUGGAACCCCCGGUACACUGAGCUUCUUUGCAGAGCACGUAUCGGAUCAAGGGACGCCCGGGGACCCGGUCACUUUUACUCUUUUUACAAGGUUGACCUCGGAUCAGGUAGGAAUACCCGCUGAACUUAA
rnacentral:misc_RNA from 1 species